UACGAGGGGGGCAAGCGUUGUUCGGAAUUACUGGGCGUAAAGGGCUCGUAGGCGGCCAACUAAGUCAGACGUGAAAUCCCUCGGCUUAACCGGGGAACUGCAUCUGAUACUGGAUGGCUUGGAUUCGGGAGAGGAAUGCGGAAUUCCAGGUGUAGCGGUGAAAUGCGUAGAUAUCUGGAGGAACACCGGUGGCGAAGGCGGCAUUCUGGACCGACAUUGACGCUGAGGAGCGAAAGCCAGGGAGCAACGGG
rnacentral:rRNA from 1 species